GCGGACGUGGCGGAAUUGGUAGACGCACCAGAUUUAGGUUCUGGCGCCGCAAGGUGUGGGGGUUCGAGUCCCCCCGUCCGCACCA
rnacentral:tRNA from 1 species